rnacentral:rRNA from 1 species
UGGGGAAUAUUGCACAAUGGGGGAAACCCUGAUGCAGCGACGCCGCGUGAGCGAAGAAGUAUUUCGGUAUGUAAAGCUCUAUCAGCAGGGAAGAAAAUGACGGUACCUGACUAAGAAGCCCCGGCUAACUACGUGCCAGCAGCCGCGGUAAUACGUAGGGGGCAAGCGUUAUCCGGAUUUACUGGGUGUAAAGGGAGCGUAGACGGACUGGCAAGUCUGAUGUGAAAACCCGGGGCUCAACCCCGGGACUGCAUUGGAAACUGUCAGUCUAGAGUGUCGGAGGGGUAAGUGGAAUUCCUAGUGUAGCGGUGAAAUGCGUAGAUAUUAGGAGGAACACCAGUGGCGAAGGCGGCUUACUGGACGAUAACUGACGUUGAGGCUCGAAAGCGUGGGGAGCAAACAGG